rnacentral:lncRNA from 1 species
AAGAUUUAGUUUCUGUUUGGCUUAGCUUUGAAUAUUAUGGUGGCGAUAGUGCGCCACAACAAUCUAUUUGGUAAAAGUUAAAAAUAAUUAUAAUAGGAACUAGGCUGGAAUACUAUCAAUAGCACCAAGCUAUUAGUGCUAUUAGGUUUUCGGCCCUUGGAUGAAAAAAUGUACGGUUAGGAUGAUGCGGGCUCUUUAGGGUUGAGUGAGUUAUUAGUUGAAUAGUAUAAUCUAAUGGGUGAAAAUAGUCAAAGUGUUAAAUCUAACGAUAGAAAACUCGAUAGUACUAAAUGUUUGAUACUAUCGAUAGUAUCCCAGCCGGACUUAUUAUAACAGAUACUUUUUGUU